UACGUAGGCAGCAAGCGUUGUUCGGAAUUACUGGGCGUAAAGAGUGUGUAGGCGGUGCUCUAAGUUCGGUGUGAAAUCUCCCGGCUCAACUGGGUGGCUGCGGAGGAGACUGGAUUGCUAGAGGGGCCUAGAGGCCGGUGGAGCUCCCGGUGUAGUGGUGAAAUGCGUAGAGAUCGGAAAGAACACCAACGGCGAAAGCACUCUGCUGGGCCGACACUGACACUGAGAGACGAAAGCUAGGGGAGCGAAUGGG
rnacentral:rRNA from 1 species